rnacentral:rRNA from 1 species
GACGAACGCUGGCGGCGUGCUUAACACAUGCAAGUCGAACGGAAAGGCCCUGCUUGCAGGGUGCUCGAGUGGCGAACGGGUGAGUAACACGUGGGUGAUCUGCCCUGCACUUUGGGAUAAGCCUGGGAAACUGGGUCUAAUACCGGAUAUUCCUUGCUGGUUGCAUGGCUGGUGGGGGAAAGCUUUUGCGGUGUGGGAUGGGCCCGCGGCCUAUCAGCUUGUUGGGGGGUGAUGGCUUACCAAGGCGACGACGGGUAGCCGGCCUGAGAGGGUGUCCGGCCACACUGGGACUGAGAUACGGCCCAGACUCCUACGGGUGGCAGCAGUCGAGAAUUUUUGACAAUGGGGGAAACCCUGAUCGAGCGACGCCGCGUGGAGGAUGAAGGUCUUUCGGGUUGUAAACUCCUGUCAUUUGAGAACAAGGUGCACCGGUUAACUGCCGGUGCAUUGAUAGUAUCAGAAG